rnacentral:rRNA from 1 species
AAUACCCCUCGGCGGACUGAGGACCGCGCAUCUGCAAGGAUGCUGGCGUAAUGGUUGUCAGCGACCCGUCUUGAAACACGGACCAAGGAGUCGUCCUAAUAUGCGAGUGUUCGGGUGUAAAACCCCUACGCGUAAUGAAAGUGAACGGAGGUGAGAGCUUCGGCGCAUCAUCGACCGAUCCUGAUGUUCUCGGAUGGAUUUGAGUAUGAGCAUAUUGGGCCGGACCCGAAAGAAGGUGAACUAUGCCUGUAUAGGGUAAAGCCAGAGGAAACUCUGGUGGAGGCUCGCAGCGGUUCUGACGUGCAAAUCGAUCGUCAAAUAUGGGCAUGGGGGCGAAAGACUAAUCGAACCUUCUAGUAGCUGGUUUCCGCCGAAGUUUCCCUCAGGAUAGCAGUGUUGAAUUCUCAGUUUUAUGAGGUAAAGCGAAUGAUUAGGGA